AGCGGCAGAUGAUGUGAAUGAUCUUAUCCUACACACCGAAUUGUUCUGUGGACUAAAACUCCGCUUAUUAUCUGAUGCCACA
rnacentral:snoRNA from 1 species